AUGAAGAUAGCUGGAUUUCUUGGCUAUUUUCGAGAAUCUGCAAAAGAAGAGUUAGGUUCAAAAAUUUGUAUUUCCAAGGGAAAACGACAAUUGAUUGAUUACUUCUCACAUAAGACAGAAGAAAUAAAUAUGUAUCGGCAAUGGAACAAACCGUAUGUUGCUUUGCUUAUAACAUGUGUAAAAACGUAUGAAAUUCCUAAUAGUUUUGGGAGUAAUAGGAGAAACACAAUAUUUAAGACAAGUGCAUGGGCAUGUGCAUCAGUGUAUAAAAUUGAAAAACAUGGAUAUCUCCCUAAAAUCCAAAGUUUCAGGAUAUAG
rnacentral:rRNA from 1 species